rnacentral:lncRNA from 1 species
CAUUUUUGCUAAGAACAUUUAAAAUUAACUGAUAUCAGUUUUGUUUUGAUUUACCUGGUUGUGUGUAGUAUUUCCAGGACCAAAAAUUUAAAACUCUCAGUCUAAAAAGCCAGAGAGAGCAUUUCUGUGCUUUAAUCCUGUCACAACUAGUAGACAGGUUCUUGUGCACACCUUCCCCUCUCUGACUGCAGCAUGUGUGUGUUUGAAAUAGUUCCUUCUCUGCUUCACGAUUCUAGUGUCAACACUAUAAGUAGACUGGAGCUGUGUUACAUAUUUUAGCUACACAGACUAAUAAAAUACACAGGACCUUGAACUAAACUUAUGUGCAAAGGCCAUAUUAGUCACGUUUCGUGUCUUUGAACAUGUAUGGUGUUGUGAAACGAAUAUUCUUCUACACUAGAAAAAUCCGGUGCUUCAACCUUAGAAUAUUUGAGCAGCAAUUCAGUCUGUUCUUAGCCGUCAAACCUUUUGGCACAGCUCAUCAUCUGUUACUUUCUUGAGAAAAAUCGAUUUUGUUGUUUUACUUACAGCAUAUGUUCUGGUGAUUGAAAACCAAACAGUUAUGGAGGGUUGUAAUACAACAAUAGUAUGUUUACAAAGUGGUCUUUUGCUGCAAGGACUUCACUUAGCCAAAUUACUGCUCACUGCAACCCUCAGAGCUUCCCGCUUACUCUCUGACCCUUGCUAGGAGGGCGGGACCUUGAAGCACCUGUUAAUCUUCCCCCUCCUGCUUCCUGCACUUGUGAAAUUCAAUGCUUGCUAGGUGUUUGAAGAUUUUACCAUCCGUGGGCUGGGGCUUGUUGUGUUACCUGUAAAAUAAGUAUUAGUUUAUAAACAGUUUUUUUGGGCUAGUGGUACCCAGGCCCCUUUGCAAGAUUUAAUCUUGAUUAUCUCCUUUUAUGUUAGAGGAGAUAUAGUAUUUAGAACACUCUAAGAUAUGUUUUAUGUUCCUGAAGCUAUCUUGCUCAUGUUUAAGAUACUAAUUGUUUAAAUGUAAGUUUUCAAUAAACGUAUUUCUUU